ACGGGAGGCAGCAGUGGGGAAUAUUGGUCAAUGGGCGGAAGCCUGAACUAGCCAAGUCGCGUGAAGGAUGAAGGUAUUAUGUAUUGUAAACUUCUUUAGCAGCAGAGUAAUAAGGUCCUCGUGAGGACUGAUGCAAGUAUGCUGAAAAUAAGGAUCGGCUAACUCCGUGCCAGCAGCCGCGGUAAUACGGAGGAUCCGAGCGUUAUCCGGAUUUAUUGGGUUUAAAGGGUGCGCAGGCGGCUUUUUAAGUCAGUGGUUAAAUCGUGACGCUCAACGUCAUCACGCCAUUGAUACUGGAGAGCUUGAUUGCGGUCGAGGUUUGCGGAAUUCGUUGUGUAGCGGUGAAAUGCAUAGAUAUGACGAAGAACACCGAUUGCGUAGGCAGCAGACCAGGCCGUAAAUGACGCUCAUGCACGAAAGUGCGGGGAUCGAACAGGAUUAGAUACCCUGGUA
rnacentral:rRNA from 1 species